AAUUUGGCAUUGAAGAGAAGUAGUAGGUGGUUACAUUGUUGAUAGAGAGUCAUCGGUUGGUGGAAGAUGACAGCACUGACUUCCGAACUCGCCUCGGAGCUGUUAGGGUGAAAUUAGACAAGUAGCCGUAACCGGAUUCAAUCCGUUAUCAUGUUUGAGGGGGCAGUGUAAAACUGUCAAAUAGAGUGGUACCGCGAGCCUUUCGUCUCUAAC
rnacentral:ncRNA from 1 species